ACUUUCAACAAUGGAUCUCUUGGCUCUGGCAUCGAUGAAGAACGCAGCGAAAUGCGAUAAGUAGUGUGAAUUGCAGAAUUCAGUGAAUCAUCGAAUCUUUGAACGCACAUUGCGCCCCUUGGUAUUCCAUGGGGCAUGCCUGUUCGAGCGUCAUCUA
rnacentral:rRNA from 3 species